AUUGAACGCUGGCGGCAUGCCUUACACAUGCAAGUCGAACGGCAGCACGGGUGCUUGCACCUGGUGGCGAGUGGCGAACGGGUGAGUAAUACAUCGGAACAUGUCCUGUAGUGGGGGAUAGCCCGGCGAAAGCCGGAUUAAUACCGCAUACGAUCUACGGAUGAAAGCGGGGGACCUUCGGGCCCCGCGCUAUAGGGUUGGCCGAUGGCUGAUUAGCUAGUUGGUGGGGUAAAGGCCUACCAAGGCGACGAUCAGUAGCUGGUCUGAGAGGACGACCAGCCACACUGGGACUGAGACACGGCCCAGACUCCUACGGGAGGCAGCAGUGGGGAAUUUUGGACAAUGGGCGAAAGCCUGAUCCAGCAAUGCCGCGUGUGUGAAGAAGGCCUUCGGGUUGUAAAGCACUUUUGUCCGGAAAGAAAUCCUUGGCCCUAAUACGGUCGGGGGAUGACGGUACCGGAAGAAUAAGCACCGGCUAACUACGUG
rnacentral:rRNA from 1 species